AUUGAACGCUGGCGGCAGGCCUAACACAUGCAAGUCGAGCGGAUGAGAGGAGCCUGCCUCUCGAUCCAGCGGCGGACGGGUGAGUAAUGCCUAGGAAUCUGCCUGGUCGUGGGGGACAACGUUUCGAAAGGAACGCUAAUACCGCCUACGUCCUACGGGAGAAAGCAGGGGAUCUUCGGGCCUUGCGCUAUCAGAUGAGCCUAGGUCGGAUUAGCUAGUUGGUGAGGUAAUGGCUCACCAAGGCGACGAUCCGUAACUGGUCUGAGAGGAUGAUCAGUCACACUGGAACUGAGACACGGUCCAGACUCCUACGGGAGGCAGCAGUGGGGAAUAUUGGACAAUGGGCGAAAGCCUGAUCCAGCCAUGCCGCGUGUGUGAAGAAGGUCUUCGGAUUGUAAAGCACUUUAAGUUGGGAGGAAGGGUUGUAGAUUAAUACUCUGCAAUUUUGACGUUACCGACAGAAUAAGCACCGGCUAACUCUGUGCCAGCCGCCGCAGUAAUAC
rnacentral:rRNA from 1 species